GUCGAAAUAGUCUCAAUUGAAAAUUCAAAUUUUUCAUUUAAUAUUUUUAAUGAAAAUUCAUUAAAUUAUUCUCCAAACAAUUGACAGUUAAGGAAAUAUGUGGACGUUAAUAGAUCAAUGGGAAACAUUAGCAAUGCAUCUAGAUUUUGUAAGAUCUUUAAUAAAUCUAUAACAAUUUGAGAUUGGAAGAUUCCAUUGCAUUGCUAAACUAUGAAAAUUUGAUGUACAUUUUAAAUAUAAAAAAAAAAGAAUAUUGUAGAGGGAAAGAAGAAGAAUAACAAACAGCACGAUAAAUAAAACUCACAUUUAAUAGUGAAGAAAAUUAUUUUGAGACGCAUUUACAAGUGGAAUAUGUUAGCAAAUGAGAAUUGUUCAGUCGGCUGCACUCGACUGCGCAAUGCUCGUUCACAGAUAAUUAAAAACCGAAAUUGACUAUUAACUAAGCAAAGACUUCAGUCGGUGCAGCUAUAUAAUUUCAAACGGGAACAUUUACAAAAUAUAUAUAAGCGAAAAUAUAUUAUAAUAUAUUUGAGAAGUAUAAAUGUUUGUCUAAAACAACCAAGUAAAGAUGAUAAUUGAUUCUAUAAUAAAAUCGUGAUUGAAGGAACCAAAACAUGUUGGAAUCGAUCUUGCGCAUCCGACAACACUUGGCACAGUGGGGCGCGUAGGCAGAAAAUGUAACAAAAAACCAAAAUUUUAUAAAACCAACUGAGAGUUUG